rnacentral:rRNA from 1 species
GACGUAGGGCGCGAGCGUUGUCCGGAUUUAUUGGGCGUAAAGAGCUCGUAGGCGGCUUGUCGCGUCGUUCGUGAAAACCUGCAGCUCAAACUGCAGGCUUGCGGUCGAUACGGGCAGGCUGGAGUUCGGUAGGGGGAGACUGGAAUUCCUGGUGUAGCGGUGAAAAUGCGCAGAUAUCAGGGAGGAACACCGGUGGCGAAAGGCGGGGUCUCUGGGGCCCGAUACUGACGCUGAGGAGCGAAAAGCGUGGGGGAGCGAACAGG